UACGAAGGGUGCAAGCGUUACUCGGAAUUACUGGGCGGAAAGCGUGCGUAGGUGGUUCGUUAAGUCUGAUGUGAAAGCCCUGGGCUCAACCUGGGAAUGGCAUUGGAAACUGGCGACCUAGAGUGCGGUAGAGGGUAGUGGAAUUCCCGGUGUAGCAGUGAAAUGCGUAGAGAUCGGGAGGAACAUCUGUGGCGAAGGCGACUGCCUGGACCAGCACUGACACUGAGGCACGAAAGCGUGGGGAGCAAACAGG
rnacentral:rRNA from 1 species